CCUGUGGCACCUUCUCCCACAAAGACUCCCUUGCCUGACAAGUAAUUUUAAAUAUGCAGCAACGCACCACCGUGCACUCACACAGCCUAUUGCUGAGCCGCAUUCCAGCCAUGCUUGAGCAGCUGCCAAGACACCCAGGGCACCAGGCCUUGCUCCAGGGUCAUGGGGACUACAGAUUUGGGCCAAUAGAUAUCUUGAUGAUCUCCACACUAUUGUUCUGAAGGAAUCAAAUCUUGACACAUCUAAAACUGAAAUCAUUCAUUAACCCUAAACCAGCUGUUGUCUCUACUUUCCUGAAUGGAGCCACCAUCCAUGCAGCUGCCCAAGCCCAUGUCUUGGCUUCACCCUUGAUUCCUGAGGCCUCCUCAUUCUACAACCUGGGAUCGUCUCCAGGCUUUGUCUGUACAGCCUCUAAAACAUUUCUCAGAUACAGCCAAUCCUCUCCCUUCUCACUGCCCCUGACCUGUCAGGCUGCGAGCAUCUCUCCUCUGGCCUCCUCAUGGGUCCUUCCAGUCAAGCUCGCUUUCUCCAACCCUUUGACCACAACCUUCGAAUCAUACUACUGUCCAACCUUCCUGGGUUCUUUAUUUGAAGACAAAGCCUAAACCCUUUGGCAUGGUAGAGGGAGCUCACUUUGAACAUGAGUUCUGUCACUUGCAGCUUAACCUGCAAAAUGAAAGUAAUAAUGACAAUGAGGAUUUUAAAUGAGGUGUAUAGAAGUGGCAUAAAUCAGUAUCCAGUAU
ensembl:lncRNA